AAGAGUUGUUCAAGGCUCUUCUGUAAUCAGCAGGGAGAAGCUGGAAUCUCUGCAGGGUAAUUAAUAUCUUGGCUGUUGUAAAAUUGCUCUGGGGAAGUACCUUUCCAGCUCUGAUAGCCACAGAGGGAGCCUGUGGUGGGUAGGUUUCUGACUUGGGUGCUACAGAGAAACUUGAAAACUGACUUCCAGUGUAUUAAGUCACUACGUGAUCCAUAUCCACACCAUAACCUCAGUGGAACAGAGGCUUUUACUCUCUUUGAAGAAAGAGAAAUGGAUUUCAUAUCAGGACCAGCUGUAACACCAGUGUCUUGGCAAACUUUGUGGAAUGAAAAUCUUAACCAGGGAGUACUGCUCGAGUCCUGAUAUGCCAGCUGCCUGAACACAGGUUUUCCUUUGCCUUGAUGGGCACAAAUCCAACAGUAGUGUCCAGGCAAAGGUAAGCUCAGGGGUACAAUGGCUGGAAGGUGUCUGGAAAUUCCAGAGAACAAUCACUGUACCCCUGGACAGUAUUUCUUCUCCCCCAAAAAAGCCAGGAUGUGCUUUUGGUUGCAAGGAUCAACAGAAAUUUAUGUCAGCUGCAUGAAAACAUACUACAAAAGACUCAUUUUGCCAUGUAGACAAUAUCUUAUAAAAGAAAGGCACAGCAUGAAAAUUGUGGGAACACCAUACAAAUAAAAACCCAUUAAAUGCUGAUUGGAACGGGAAUUCUUCAUUUAUACUGCUAUAAAAAAUGCAUGAAAUGUAAACUAAGACAAUGUAAGGGUGCACCCAACUUUAUUCAUAGUUUUAAAUAAAGAGAUGGUUUGGGAAGAUUUAUUAAUUAUGCAAGUCAGACCAUUAUUUGAAUAGAUUCUCUGGUUAUCCAUAUUCACUGACUACCCAAUUUUCUUACUUCGAAGAAGCAGCAAUGUCUUCUGUAAAACCAUGUGGACUCAGAAUAAGAUUUUUGUGCUCGGAAUACAACUUCAACGUUUCUGAAAGGUGUUUAUUGCAGAUAUAGUGACUGUUUGCUUUACAAUCAUUUCCAGUAUGCAAAGUUUCAUUGUAUAGUCAGUAUGUCUUGUCAAGGAAG